rnacentral:rRNA from 1 species
UGGGGAAUAUUGCACAAUGGGCGAAAGCCUGAUGCAGCGACGCCGCGUGAGGGAUGACGGCCUUCGGGUUGUAAACCUCUUUCAGCAGGGAAGAAGCUUUCGGGUGACGGUACCUGCAGAAGAAGCACCGGCUAACUACGUGCCAGCAGCCGCGGUAAUACGUAGGGUGCGAGCGUUGUCCGGAAUUAUUGGGCGUAAAGAGCUCGUAGGCGGUUUGUCACGUCGGAUGUGAAAGCCCGGGGCUUAACCCCGGGUCUGCAUUCGAUACGGGCAGACUAGAGUUCGGUAGGGGAGAUCGGAAUUCCUGGUGUAGCGGUGAAAUGCGCAGAUAUCAGGAGGAACACCGGUGGCGAAGGCGGAUCUCUGGGCCGAUACUGACGCUGAGGAGCGAAAGCGUGGGGAGCGAACA